CGCUUUUCCGUAGUACGUUAUCGAACCCCCAAACCCCGAAACCCUACAGACCGUAUGCUAACUCGCUAUCUCUAGGUGAACCUGCGGAAGGAUCAUUAAUAGAAAAGGAAAGGCGGGCCCCUCCCCUGGGAGGAUGCCCGACUAUGUUCUAAACCCCCUGUCUACCGACCUCACAAACCCCAAGUACAAACAAUCAAAAGUCGUCCCUAGCGGGGCGCGCUAUAUUAAAUGUACAAAGAAACAAAACUUUCAACAACGGAUCUCUUGGUUCUGGCAUCGAUGAAGAACGCAGCGAAAUGCGAUAAGUAAUGUGAAUUGCAGAAUUCAGUGAAUCAUCGAAUCUUUGAACGCACAUUGCGCCCCUCGGCAUUCCGGGGGGCAUGCCUGUUCGAGCGUCAUUACACCACUCAAGCCUGGCUUGGUAUUGGGCGACGGGGACUCCCCGCGCCUCCAUGUCACCGGCGGACGACCCGUAUCUCAGCGUUGUGGCACAAAUUCGCUGGCGAGAGGGGGGCGGUCCGGCCGUUAAAACUCAUCUCAGGUUGACCUCGGAUCAGGCUGGGAUACCCGCUGAACUUAAGCAUUAAAAGGGGGAGAGAGAAAAAAUUAUCACCCCUCAACUCCGGCUUGAUGUUGGGCUUUUAAGGCGGUUUUAACCAACCAGCCGGGCCUCAAAAAUUAGUGACGGCGCCCCAGAUGGAAUCGGUACGAGGGAGCUUUUAUUCGAGGAUGUACGCGGCGUGAAUCUGCGGGGCGGACGGUCUUUAACCACUACUCCUCGGAGAAUUUUCUAGUGUUGACUUCGGCAUCAGGGUAGGGAUACCCGCUGGACUUAACUCGACAUGAGGGGA
rnacentral:rRNA from 1 species